GCUUCUUCUUCUUUUUCACUUUUGUUAAGCUCCUGUUUUUUUUUCUUAUUAAUUGUGGUUCGUUGUCUGCUACUACCCAAUGAUACUAAAAUCUUAUAAGAAGAUCGAGAGGAUUUCAAAGAAGAAGACGUGAAUAGGGAAGAAGGAUUUCGAAGGUCCAUAUAGUCUACUUUCUCUCACUCCGAGGCUACAAUAAUUUGGGUUGGAUGGCUGUUUUUUCGGCGACAAAUCAUCUUCACGUUGAUCUUCACGGAGGUGUUGUGUCAAAAGCAGUUUCACGGAGACGUUUAUCUUCACGGAGGUGAUCUUCACGGAUGUGUGUUCUAUUCCAGUUUAGGCCGGUUUUGUAGAUAUUUAAUAUUUGUUUGUAAUCUUAACCGACCGUAUAGUGGUUUUGGUUAGGUUUGACUACUGUAUUUAAAAAAACAGAAUUGUAUUCUUUAUGAAAUAAUAUUAAUUUAUUAUAUUUUCGGAUUAA